UUCAUACAAUAACAAUCCCUAUCUUUCUUCUUCUUAGACAAGUAGGCUGAGCCUCAAAUACUGCAAUCAACAACGCUAAAAAUGCCUAAGAUUCAACACCCCUCAAAGUAGUAUUGGAGCUGCCAUUUCGAACAUCCAGCUUAUAGCCAGCACCAUAGGUGGCAUCAACAACACCAGUCAGUGCCUGGCACGCCAUUGCCAUUCCCUUCUACUCUAUCCACUUUAUGGGGAUGGUGGUUUCCUUUCACUCCUCUAAAACCAGGAGGUCCACAUGCAGUUUGAACAUGCUUUAGAUUUGGAUCUUUCCGAGGUCGGCCAAGUCCCUACUUCACUGGUAGGACUGAAGGAGGCACCAACAUUGUCGCCUUGGAUAACUUGAUUCACUUUCAGAAAUUACCAUUUACAAUAUUGAAGCAAUUCUUUUGGUAGAAACUGGUUUUAGGCACGUGUAAGUAAUGUGCAAGGCACGUGUUGUAACUGUAGUGAAGCAUUCAAUAGUAUUGAUAUUGUGAGUGAUUUGUGUAUGAUAUUAAUAUUUGUAAAAUCUUACUAAAAGAAAAUUUGGGAAUUUAGUAGAAUGAAUUGUAUAGGCUUCAUAGCUAUAAAUACGGGAGGGUAGGUCCAUUUUUUCAGGCACAAAUUAGUGAGAAAAUGGGAGGGAGAGGCACCCUCUGGGAAACUGACCAAACAUAUACACAAAACCACAAAAAUACAGCAAUUGCAAUCUGAUUAUUAUCAGAUAAUUAAAGCCUUUACCUUUGAAGAGUGUAUAAGAGAUCACGUAGAGAUUAUUAUACACAACAAAGCUUGAUUAGAGUGAGAGUAAUUUUAAGAAGGUACAGGGAAAGAGUGAGAACUAAUGGCAAGAGUUUCCAGAGGAUAGAAGGGCAUUAAAGAUAUUUUCACAAUUAUGAAUAAAGUUAACGAUGCAAUUGCUACAUGUCAAACUUUGAGUGAUUAAGUGACGAGGGCGUAAACAAACUAAUGAUAUUUUCUCAAUUAUGAGCAAAGUUAAGGAUGCUACUGCUAUAUGACAAAAUAUCUGUGGUAAAGUGACCAGAAAGUUAACAGGAAUUAAACUAAGAAUAUGAUAUCACUUUUUUUCUCAAUUAUGGGCGAAGUUAAUGGCGCUCUAUCUUCUUCUUAGAUAAAUAGGCGAAGACUCAAAUGCUGAAAUCACCAAUGCUAAAAAAGCCUAAAUAUCAAUCAACAUGCAGCAAAAAAUUCUAACUAAAAAUGCCAAAAUUUUUCAUCAACAUUUGAUGAUCUCCCCAGAAACUGCACCAAGAAAUGGUAGUAUAUCUUAUUAACAGGAAAAAGGAAUACCUCACAAGAACAAAGCACUGAUUUUUUACAAUAUUGAAGAAAUUCUUUUAGUAGAAAAAAGCAAUAAAAUAAACAUGUGAAAAGGAUAAAAUUGCAUAUAAGAUGAAGCUGAAGAGAAAUUAAUAACCAAUUAAAAAUGAGAGGUGAGAAUUAUUUCAAGACUUUACCUUGCGAAGAGUAUACUAGAUUGGACAGAAAUAUUAUUUUGAUAAAGCUUAAGUAGAGGGAGAGAGUAAAUUUAAGAAACUUGGAAUAGAGGGCUACAGAGUGUAGAUAGAUAGAGAGAGAGAGAGAGAGAGAGAGAGAGAGAGAGAGAGAGAGAGUUUCUGGAGGUUAGAAAGGAAUUAAUGAUAAUUUCUCAAUUAUGGCUGAAGUUAACGAUGCUAUUACUACGUGUCAAAAUUUCAAUGAUAAAGCAACCAGGCAGUGAACAUGAAUUAAUGCCAUUUACUCAACUGUGGGCAAAGCAAACAAUGCUAUUGCUACAUGUCAAAAUUUUCUCAUGAUUAAGUCGCCAAAAAUGUUAGUACCAAAUCCUGGAGUGCCCAGCACAUUGAGAUGCACAUGCCUUUGCUAGACAUCUCCACCAAUUCCAUAACUCUUGAUGCUUCUUUCUUUUCAUUUUUUCGAACAUUUUCAAGUUACUGGUGUAAAUUGUUUUCCAACUGGGAAAAUGCGAAAAAUAGAUGACAUCCACAAUUACUCAAAGACCUUUUGCUUUCGAUUAAUAUGCAAAAAAAAAAAAAAAAAAAAAAAAAAAAACUUCAUAUUCCUAAAAAUGUAAAUUUAUCUGUGUUACUAAAUAUGACACCAAAAACAAAUGAGUUAUCCAGUAGGCCCUUUGAGUAACGUUUCAAGUGGAAAAGAGCCACCAAUUUAGGCCCUUCUACUGCCCAUAGAACACUUGAAUAGAAUCCAAACUGUAACACAAAGCAUAUUAUACAAAAUUCAAUCCCAUCAUGGGUACAGUCUUACAUUCAGGACCAUAAAAUUCACCGGGGUCAAACAAACUAACGUUCAACGCGAACAAAAUGGAGCUUUUAAUGAAACAAGCACGGAGAAUACAUAAACCGAUACACAGACACAAUGAUAUAUGCAUAUGCACACAGGCACACUGUCACGCACAGAUAAGGGAGCUCUUUCUUGUACCUGACCAUCCCAUAAAGAAUGUAUUGGCCUUCUUCUGUCAUUAUGAUCCAGUAAUUUC
rnacentral:lncRNA from 1 species